GUAGGUGGCAAGCGUUGUCCGGAAUUAUUGGGCGUAAAGCGCGCGCAGGCGGUCCUUUAAGUCUGAUGUGAAAGCCCACGGCUCAACCGUGGAGGGUCAUUGGAAACUGGGGGACUUGAGUACAGAAGAGGAAAGCGGAAUUCCAAGUGUAGCGGUGAAAUGCGUAGAGAUUUGGAGGAACACCAGUGGCGAAGGCGGCUUUCUGGUCUGUAACUGACGCCGAGGCGCGAAAGCGUGGGGAGCAAACAGGAUUAGAUACCCUGGUAGUCCACGCCGUAAACGAUGAGUGCUAAGUGUUAGGGGGUUUCCCGCCCCCUUAGUGCUGCAGCUAACGCAUUAAGCACUCCGCCUGGGGAGUACGGCCGCAAGGCUG
rnacentral:rRNA from 1 species